UACGGAGGAUGCAAGCGUUAUCCGGAAUGAUUGGGCGUAAAGGGUCCGCAGGUGGCAGUGUAAGUCUGCUGUCAAAGAAUGAGGCUUAACCUCAUCAAGGCAGUGGAAACUACACAGCUAGAGUACGGUCGGGGUAGAGGGAAUUCCUGGUGUAGCGGUGAAAUGCGUAGAGAUCAGGAAGAACACCGGUGGCGAAAGCGCUCUGCUAGGCCGCAACUGACACUCAUGGACGAAAGCUAGGGGAGCGAAUGGG
rnacentral:rRNA from 1 species